AUGAACGCUGGCGGUAUGCUUAACACAUGCAAGUCGAACGGUCACUUCGGUGAUAGUGGCGGACGGGUGAGUAACGCGUGAGAAUCUGUCUUCAGAUCGGGGACAACAGUUAGAAAUGACUGCUAAUACCGGAUGUGCCUUUGGGUGAAAGAUUUAUUGCCUGAAAAAGAGCUCGCGUCAGAUUAGCUAGUAGGUGGUGUAAGAGACUACCUAGGCUCCGAUCUGUAGCUGGUCUGAGAGGACGAUCAGCCACACUGGAACUGAGACACGGUCCAGACUCCUACGGGAGGCAGCAGUGGGGAAUUUUCCGCAAUGGGCGAAAGCCUGACGGAGCAAUACCGCGUGAGGGACGAAGGCUUUUGGGUCGUAAACCUCUUUUCUCAAGGAAGAUGAUGACGGUACUUGAGGAAUAAGCAUCGGCUAACUCUGUG
rnacentral:rRNA from 1 species